AGUGAACGCUGGCGGUAUGCCUAACACAUGCAAGUCGAACGGCAGUACAUUAUGAGCUUGCUCUUACGCUUGGCGAUUAGCGGACGGGUGAGGAAUAGAUCGGAAUCUACUUUUUAGUGUGGCAUAACGUAGGGAAACUUACUCGAAUACCGCAUACGACCUACGGUUAAAAGCAGUAGAUCUUGGGACCUUGCGCGAUGGAAUGAGCCGAUGUCGUAUUAGCUAGUUGGCGGGGUAAAGGCCAACCAAGGCGACGAUGCGUAGCCGGUUUGAGAGGAUGAUCGGCCAAAAUGGAACUGAGACACGGCCCAAACUCCUACGGGAGGCAGCAGUAGGGAAUAUUGGACAAUGGGCGAAAGCAUGAUCCAGCAAUACCGCGUGGGUGAAGAAGGCCUUCGGGUUGUAAAGCCCUUUUGUUAGGAAAGAAAAGCAGUAGGUUAAUACCCCGCUGUUCUGACGGUACCCAAAGAAAAAGCACCGGCUAACUUCGUG
rnacentral:rRNA from 1 species